UAACAGGAACUGUCCUGUCCUGCCCAAAUUUCCUCUGUGGAUUCCUACUGCAAGUACCUGGGGCUUCCCCUUAGGGCUUUCUCUCAGCCCACUCCCUGCAGCAGGACAAAAAAGCCAAGGAGUUCCCGUCCCCAGAGCAGUCCUCAAUCAAAGACAGAUGUGAGAUGAGAAGCAAAUCUCCCCACGUGCUCACCCCUCAGGUGGGGUUUUGCUGAGGCACAUCCGCCUCUCAGGUUCUGUAGUGGUAUGGAGUUCCAGCUGCCCCCAGUGCUACCUGCUUGGUAAAAAUGUGAAACCAAGAGGCUUCUCUCACCAUUCUCCCACCCUUCCCAAAGGGAGACCAGAUCUCAGCUCAGGGGAUCCCGCCAGCCCCAAGCAAGCCAGGCAGUGUCCUGGUGUGGCAGCUCACAGGCCCUGGCAGUGCAUUUCAAGGGUGGUGCUGCUUCCUGCCCGUCUGUUUGGGAGCACAUUCAGGAGACAUGAGCAGAUGUCCUGGAGGGAACUCCAGGCUCCAGAUGCAAUGUUUAUAAAAAGU
rnacentral:lncRNA from 1 species